AUUGAACGCUGGCGGCAGGCCUAACACAUGCAAGUCGAGCGAGCGGCGGACGGGUGAGUAAUGUAUGGGGAUCUGCCCGAUAGAGGGGGAUAACUACUGGAAACGGUGGCUAAUACCGCAUACCAUCGGAUGAACCCAUAUGGGAUUAGCUAGUUGGUGGGGUAAAGGCUCACCUAGGCGACGCUCUCUAGCUGGUCUGAGAGGAUGACCAGCCCCCCUGGGACUGAGACACGUCCCAGGCUACUGCGGAAGGCAGCAUUUGGGAAUAUUUCACAAUGAUCGCAAGCCUGGUACAGCCAUGCCGCGUGUAUGAAGAAAGCCUUCGGGUUCUAAUGUACUUUCAGCGGGGAGGCGUUACCCGCAGAAGAAGCACCGGCUAACUCCGUGCCAGCCGCCGCGGUAAUAC
rnacentral:rRNA from 1 species